rnacentral:rRNA from 1 species
CUGGCUCAGAAUCAACGCUGGCGGCGUGCCUCAGACAUGCAAGUCGAACGAUUAAAGCUCUCUUCGGAGAGUGUAUAGAGUGGCGCACGGGUGAGUAACACGUAAGUAAUCUACCCUCGAGUGGGGAAUGACAACCGGAAACGGUUGCUAAUACCGCAUAAUGCAGCGGCACCGCAAGGUGACAGUUGUUAAAGAUUUAUCGCUUGAGGAGGAGCUUGCGGCAGAUUAGCUAGUUGGUAGGGUAACGGCUUACCAAGGCUACGAUCUGUAACCGGUCUAAGAGGACGGUCGGUCACACUGACACUGAAUAACGGGUCAGACUCCUACGGGAGGCAGCAGUCGGGAAUUUUGGGCAAUGGGCGAAAGCCUGACCCAGCAACGCCGCGUGAAGGAUGAAGUAUUUCGGUAUGUAAACUUCGAAAGAAUAGGAAGAAUUAAUGACGGUACUAUUUAUAAGGUCCGGCUAACUACGUG